GAGCUGGAGCUCAGUGGUAGAGCGCUUGCCUAGCAUGUAUGAGGCUCUGGGUUUGAUCCUCAGCACCACA
rnacentral:tRNA from 1 species